CGGUGGGGAGGCUGCCACGCUUGAGCCUCAAGCUGCCGUUCCACCCGCGGGGACAGAUGUUGUAGCCGAGGAUGCCGGGCGACUUAGCCCCGGAGUCCUCGGAGUCGAGGGACACGUCCGAGUCCGUGGGCGAGCGGCGGCCUUGAGCAGAGAGGAAGUUCCCACUGACAGAUGGGAACACAAAAGGAAGUCGGGUCCUCCAGCGCUAGGCAGCACGCUCUCCUGACUGGACUUCUUGCCAGCAUGGGGUAGAGAGUGAGGAGUCGGUGAAGCCGAGUUGGUGAACAUCUUCGAGGAGAUAAAGCACUACUCUGCUAUACACGACUGCACCUGUUUCCUACCUCUUUAGGGACUUUCCAGUCUACAAGUUUCCAUGUCAUCCUUUCUCCCCCAUUAGAUCCUCACAGCAUGCUGAUGUGGUGGCUGGCAUCAUUACACCCAUUUUACAAGAAUGAAAAUGAAGUUCAGAGGUGUAAAUAACUAUCUGGUGUGUUCUGCCCCAUGAGGAUGUGUGCAUGGGUGUGUGUGACUGUGUGUGACUACCUUCUGCUCAAAGGCCACACCAUGCUAAAGCAGUUUGGAGAACUGGUUUGAAAGUGGAAGGCUUGGGAAUCAUGCCCAGCUGGUAUCUGCUAAACCUUCCAACUCUUCAUCCAAUCAGAUUACAGCAGUAAACCAGUCCACUCAACCUUCGAUCCAAUCCAGAUUCACCAGCAGUCAUUUCUCAGAGUCCAGACCUAGCCAGGCCCUUCAAUGUCUUCUGCCCAAUCAAAAUCUAGAACCAUUCAUGGAUCCAUUCUUUCAUCCAAUCAGUAAUCAGCCACUGUCAAGCCUGUCAGCCUCUCAUCCAAUCAGAAUCUGAUUUCUCCCAAUCAAAAGGAAGUAGCGAAGUGUUAUGUUUUCUCCCUACAAUGCAGCAGCUACUAGAUGACCUGACUCAGAAUGGGGUCCCUUAAACAGCAGUUCGUAUAGGAGAUUUUUCAUGGGAUAGUAAUGCUGGAGGGAAACUUAGGGACCUCCUGGGGACAACCAAGACCCCAAUCAUCAAUUUGAAAAGGUAAAAAGCUCAGCAUAGGAUCCACCCCUUUCAUUCCCAGGAUCAAAGCUGUGUCUGUGUGAGCCAGAGACACUGGGACCUUCUCUGUCUGUGACACAUCCCAGGAAGCUUUCAAUCAGCCCAGCUAUGGGAAAUGCGGCCAAGAGUAAUUGAUCCCAGCCUGUUGACAAGUCUGGGGGCACAAGGACCAGGGCUCUGCAGCUAGGAAAAGAGCAGGCUGGGGCAGGAAGAGUUAUACCUGUCUGAAAUCUCUAAGUGUUAUCUCUGCCUUCGGUGGCCACGAGGGGAUGGCUAGGCCAGCCGGUGGAAGGAAGAAGCAACAGAACUGACUUCCCAAGCCUGGGGUGGACUAUUGGACAAUGGUAAGCAGUUCCGCAUCAUUUGGAGGUGGGCCAGAGCCUGACCUCAUCGGAACUGCCAUGUCUGGGUAUACGGACUCUGUGUGUGCAGCGCAGGAGGUGGGGUGCACAGUACAGAAAAGCUGUGAGAAAUCAGGACUGUUCACUUUCUGACAAAGCCCUCAAUGUCUUAUAUAAGCCAGAACUCCCUGGAAAUGCACAUGGGUGAAAACUCAGAAACAGCGCCCACUUAACCCAGCACCAGCCCCACGGCAGGACAUGUGUGUGGGGCGAAGGCUUAGGCAGAGCAGUCAGACAGGAACUAUCAAAGACCAAAUGGAACUAGCUCCCAGAUUGCCUUCUGCAGCCCCUUUCCUUGGAGGGAAGGGAAACUGAGGCCCAGAGUUGAGAAGGGGCUGUCUAAGGUCACACAAGGAGUCAGGUGGGGACUACAACCCUCUUCUGACUCUUGAUGCCAGCUUGUUCCUCUCCACCGGGGCAGAAGCCGUUUUCAGGAGCCCGGAGGUGAUGAAUAUGGGAAACUGCCAGAUUAAGAUAACACGGAGACCGGGGAAGGGGCCUGAGGGAACCAGAAAGUAUAUGCUCUGGCUAAAGGCAUUUACAUUCCACUUUCAAAGAAUUCAAACAAACCUGGACUGUAAGGGGCUGUGGGUUUUCCCCCAUGCUCUAUAAGCUUUUUGGCCAAACUCUGGAGGAAGGAGAAAACAAAAGAAUUUCCACAGGAUUAUGGUUCCCUACGUCUGACCCAGGGAAGAGAGAGGGCAGCCCUGGCUUCCAAGCCACCACACAUCCGUACCCACAGCAGAACCAGAGUCACAAACAGCCCACGGAGACACGCCACACACUCACACACAGGAACGGAGUCGUCCAACCCCCCCUUCCCAGGCCAGAAUCAGGGAGGAAGAGGGGAGAGCCCAGACCACCAGCCAGGGAGCGCGGAAUAAAGAAAGAAGCAAGACAGAUUUGAGGUUGAGUGUAUUGAGAACAGGAGAGAAAACAAAGUUGGGGGAAGAGCUGGGCCAGCCUGGCCGCGGGAGCUGCAGGAUGGAGGGUGGGCUCUUCCACUGCUGGCCCUCAGGGGUAGAAAGGAUCAGGGGUCUGGGGUAGGGGCUUCACUCUGUCCUGGGAGGGGCCUGGUAUGAAGAAGCUGAGCUCACUUAUGACUCCCCCACGCAUGCCCCCCAGUUCCGGGCAGAAUGAACUCACUAGGAAGGCACCCCCCUGUUCCCAUGGAGACGAGCCCAGAGCUCACGAAAACUGCAGGCUCAGCCCAGCACGGGCACCGCCUCCACCACCCUUCGCCCCGCUGGGGAGCCCAGAAAUAGGGCCGGGGAAGAGGGAGUGGGUGGUGCUCGGCCCCCAGCCUUGGGAGGCUUCCAUCUGAAUUCUGACUCUUUCGUCUGUAUUCUCACACCGUCCCCCCCAAACGGAGUCUGGUUUCAGGGCUGGCCCACCUCAAACAUGUCAGAGGUGGUGAAGAUCUCACCCUACCUGACUCAGUAUCCUCACUGUAUGGGGAAACCGAGACUCAAGGAUACACAUGGAAUUAAUCUGGUAGAAUCCAGAUCUCUUAAAUCCCAGCCUUUUCCUCAAAACCUUAAGGUCUCCUCCUCGGUCCCACCACGAGGCUGUGCUCCUGCCCUGGCUUCCUAUGCUUCUAUUGUCUCCAGGCUGUCCCAGCCUGGGCUUCUGGUUCCCCGGCCUCCUGCAGCGGCUUCCUCCAGCAGUACCCUCCCCAGGACGCCCUCACAGACCUCUCAUCUCCAGCCCUUCUACGGCCAACAGCCCAUUGCCUCCCCGUCUUUUCCCCAGGGGACUGUCUUACCACUUACAAGGCCUUUCUCCCAAAGCACCAGCCUAUUCUCUCAAUCCUCACAGACAGUCACAGCUGGAAGGGCACUGACUGGGUAAAUAAGAAAACUGAGGCCCAGGAAGGGAAAGUGACUUGGCUAGACUCACACAGCAAAGGGGAGGCUAGGAUGGGACCAGACCCUCCUCUCCAGCCUCUCUCCGUGGUACCCACCGCUACGCAGAGAUAGUUGCUUUUAGUGGGGCAGAUCUUGGCUGAGGUUGAAGCCCGACUAGCCAAUGGGUACGCUGCCAGGGGCCGCUCUCACUGCACGCCCACACCUGCACGUCCUUCUCUCGGGGACUCCCUGGGACCUCGUACACCCCAGCACACAGAGGGCCAGCCAGGUGGCACCGGGACCAAGGUCUCAUCCCCAGCGCGGAGCCAGGUGUCUGGAGAGGACAGGGAAGCAGGGGAGCAGAGGGUCGGGACGGAAAGCAUCAGACAGCAGUGGCAGGCUAAGUCCUCAUCCAGCAGAAGAACCCACGAGAGGAGAAAACGUGGCGGCCGGGACAGAGCUCUCUGAAGCAGCGGAGAGGAAACGGCAUCCAGAAGGCAGAGGUGGAGGAGACAGGCCAGUGCAGACCCAGACUCUGGAGGGAAGGACACCAAGAGAGGCUCCAGAGCGCUUGGACAAGGCUCUGCAGGACGGCCUGUUUCUCCACCUCACGGGAGUGCUCCAACCAUGCCAAAGUCCCAGGGAGUGCAACCUGACUGAAUCUUGGCAGGCUGCCAGCCAUCCUCUCAGGAGAGUAAUUCAUACUAAGGAUGUGGAAGAUCAAACAGCAAGUCCUCAUCACAGCAUUCAGGGCCCCUGCCACCAGAGCCUGCCUGAGGGCUUACUAACCUGUUCUCUGUGCCCUCCCAGCGGCCACAGAAAACCCAAGGGCUCCCAUGUGCCCCCUGGCAGUUCCCGCCUCCCCUGUGUGGUCUGCACCUGAGCAGGGGCCCCAAAGCCUUCCCUUCUGUAUUCUCCCCUGUCCCCCGCACCUUCCACAUGUGCUCGCAGAAUAACAAUAAAGUCAAUGAAGACAACAAUAGCCAUCAUGUGAGGAGCACCAGCCGCUGCUAAGCAAAGGGACUUGCGAAGCCUCCAGACACACAUGACUUCUGCAGUAACUCCAGGUUCACCAAGAACAGGACAACUGCAAACAGGGUGGUUGUGCGGACUAGAUCUCAGAUGUGCCAAGCACCUAGCAUCAAGCCUAGCACGGGUGCUCCUGGGAGGACACAGCGCCGUGGACUCACAGGCUCAAGCGGAAGCUUCUGGAAGGCAGGGAUUCUGUCUCAUUCACCUGUGUACCCACACCUAUCGAGUAUAAUGUGUGCUCAAUAAACAUGUGUUGAAUGAACAC